GCCUUCGUGGUGUAGUGGUCAGCACGCUCGGCGCAUAUUGGAGAGGUCCUUGGUUCGAGUCCCGGCGAGGGCA
rfam:Stegodyphus mimosarum contig43364, whole genome shotgun sequence.